AUGCGAAUCUCGAAAGCCUGUCUCAGUUCGGAUUGGAGGCUGAAACCCGCCUCCAUGAAGUUGGAUUCGCUAGUAAUCGCGCAUCAGCCAUGGCGCGGUGAAUACGUUCCCGGGCCUUGUACACACCGCCCGUCGAGCCAUGGGAGCCGGGGGCGCCUGAAGUUCGUGACCGCAAGGAGCGACCUAGGGCAAAACUGGUGACUGGGGCUAAGUCGUAACAAGGUAUC
rnacentral:rRNA from 1 species